rnacentral:lncRNA from 1 species
GUUCUCACUAUCUUGCCCAGGCUGAGGAGAGAGGAUUGCCUCUCUCCUCAGCCUCCCAAACUCCUGGAAUUAGAGGCUUGAGCUACUUCACCUGACCUCUUUUUCUUUUUAAUUGCAGAUACUCAUGCAGUGAUGAUACGUGUCAAUCAUUUGACGUCAAAUGUAUUUUUCAUUCCAUCUGGCAAAUCAUAUCCCUCUUCUUGAAUGGAAUUCCUCUGUCACUCUGGGUCUUUCAAUUCACCUUGAAGUGUCCAAACGAAAAAGAUGGAUUUGAUGUCGUGAAAUGGCAAUUCUAAAACUCAGGAGAUAUGUUGGUGUUUCUGAGCUCUUACUCCAGUGUCCACUUGUCCAUAGAAUCACCUUUCACUUCUGGGGUCAGAGGACAGCUCCUGGAAUGAUCUCUCAUCUUACGGCAAAAAGGUAAGAGAACUUGGCUGGGCACAGUGGAUCACUCAUGUGAUUCAAGCAUUUUGAGAGGCUGA